AUUGAACGCUGGCGGCAGGCCUAACACAUGCAAGUCGAACGAGUGGCGGACGGGUGAGUAAUGUCUGGGACACUGCCCGAUGGAGGGGGAUAACUACUUGAAACGGUAGCUAAUACCGCAUACCAUCGGAUGUGCCCAGAUGGGAUUAGCUAGUAGGUUGGGUAACGGCUCACCUAGGCUACGAUCCCUAGCUGGUCUGAGAGGAUGACCAGACACACUGGAACUGAGACACGGUCCAGACUCCUACGGGAGGCAGCAGUGGGGAAUAGUGCAAAAUGGGCGCAAGCCUGAUGCAGCCAUGCCGCGUGUAUGAAGAAGGCCUUCGGGUUGUAAAGUACUUUCAGCGAGGAGGCGUUACUCGCAGAAGAAGCACCGGCUAACGCCGUGCCAGCAGCCGCGGUAAUUC
rnacentral:rRNA from 1 species